AAGAUAUUAGCAGAAGUUUUCGGAUGGAAGCGGAUAUGACUUAGCGGCGGACGGGUGAGUAACGCGUGGAUAACCUGCCUCAUACAGGGGGAUAACAGUUAGAAAUGACUGCUAAUACCGCAUAAGCGCACAGGACCGCAUGGUCCGGUGUGAAAAACUCCGGUGGUAUGGGAUGGAUCCGCGUCUGAUUAGCUGGUUGGUGAGGUAACGGCCCACCAAGGCGACGAUCAGUAGCCGACCUGAGAGGGUGGCCGGCCACAUUGGGACUGAGACACGGCCCAAACUCCUACGGGAGGCAGCAGUGGGGAAUAUUGCACAAUGGGGGAAACCCUGAUGCAGCAACGCCGCGUGAGUGAAGAAGUAUUUCGGUAUGUAAAGCUCUAUCAGCAGGGAAGAAGAAAGACGGUACCUGACUAAGAAGCCCCGGCUAACUACGUGCCAGCAGCCGCGGUAAUACGUAGGGGGCAAGCGUUAUCCGGAUUUACUGGGUGUAAAGGGAGCGUAGACGGCUGUGCAAGUCUGAAGUGAAAGCCCGUGGCUCAACCGCGGAACUGCUUUGGAAACUGUAUAGCUUGAGUACUGGAGAGGCAGGCGGAACUCCUAGUGUAGCGGUGAAAUGCGUAGAUAUUAGGAGGAACACCAGUGGCGAAGGCGGCCUGCUGGACAGAAACUGACGUUGAGGCUCGAAAGCGUGGGGAGCAAACAGGAUUAGAUACCCUGGUAGUCCACGCGGUAAACGAUGAAUGCUAGGUGUUGGGGAGCAAAGCUCUUCGGUGCCGUCGCAAACGCAGUAAGCAUUCCACCUGGGGAGUACGUUCGCAAGAAUGAAACUCAAA
rnacentral:rRNA from 1 species